UACGUAGGGGGCGAGCGUUGUCCGGAUUUAUUGGGCGUAAAGGGCGUGUAGGCGGUUCGGUAAGUCGGGGGUGAAAACCCGGGGCUCAACCCCGGGUCUGCCUCCGAAACUGCGGGACUUGAGUGCUCUAGAGGGUAGUGGAAUUGCCGGUGUAGCAGUGAAAUGCGUAGAGAUCGGCAGGAACACCAGUGGCGAAGGCGACUGCCUGGGGAGUAACUGACGCUGAGGCGCGAAAGCUGGGGGAGCAAACGGGAUUAGAUACCCCGGUAGUCCCAGCCGUAAACGAUGAGUGCUAGGUGUGAGGGGUAUCGACCCCCCUCGUGCCGCCGUUAACGCAAUAAGCACUCCGCCUGGGGAGUACGGCCGCAAGGUUG
rnacentral:rRNA from 1 species